UCUGGUUGAUCCUGCCAGUAGUUAUAUGCUUGUCUCAAAGAUUAAGCCAUGCAUGUCUAAGUACACACGAAUUAAAAGUGAAACCGCAAAAGGCUCAUUAUAUCAGUUAUGGUUCCUUAGAUCGUUAACAGUUACUUGGAUAACUGUGGUAAUUCUAGAGCUAAUACAUGCAAUUAAAACAUGAACCUUAUGGGACAUGUGCUUUUAUUAGGCUAAAACCAAGCGAUCGCAAGAUCGUUAUAUUGGUUGAACUCUAGAUAACAUGCAGAUCGUAUGGUCUUGUACCGACGACAGAUCUUUCAAAUGUCUGCCCUAUCAACUUUUGAUGGUAGUAUCUAGGACUACCAUGGUUGCAACGGGUAACGGGGAAUCAGGGUUCGAUUCCGGAGAGGGAGCCUGAGAAACGGCUACCACAUCUAAGGAAGGCAGCAGGCGCGUAAAUUACCCACUCCCAGCUCGGGGAGGUAGUGACGAAAAAUAACAAUACAGGACUCAUAUCCGAGGCCCUGUAAUUGGAAUGAGUACACUUUAAAUCCUUUAACAAGGACCAAUUGGAGGGCAAGUCUGGUGCCAGCAGCCGCGGUAAUUCCAGCUCCAAUAGCGUAUAUUAAAGUUGUUGCGGUUAAAACGUUCGUAGUUGAACUUGUGCUUCAUACGGGUAGUACAACUUACAAUUGUGGUUAGUACUAUACCUUUAUGUAAGUUAAUAAUUACAGUUAUCGAUUUGAUUUUGAAGAUCGCAAGCGACCGUUUAUUGCAAUUUAUCAUUUGAAACUAAAUCUAGCGUACAAAAUGUUUCCCUAAGUCCCUAGCAAUCAAGUGAAGUCGUCGGCAGCGGCGCAGCAGGCGUCGGCCGCGGCGCAGCGCAGAAGUGUCGAUGUCGCGCUUAACCGUUCGUUGGCGUUGAUGGCAGCGGAGACUAUGUGGAACCACAAGAUGUUAGAGAAUCAAUUGCAGGGCAAUAACUCCUCCCCUCUUAAUUGACGCUUGUCCUCGAGCGGUCAUCAUAAGGAUGGGAUGUUUUUGAGUCGCAUCGUUGGUGGGGUGAUUCGUGGUAGUUUGGGCACAGCAUUAAUGGUUUGAAUGCCAGGUGUUUAUUGUUGCGUGCGUUCGAGGUUUGUGCAACUCGGAUGUGUUCUGCAUUGACAACUUGAUUGCUUCUAUUAAAAUUCUGGUUUUUACUAAAUUACUAAUGAAUUUAUAUCUACAUAUUUUUAGACCAUUGGAACCUUUGCAGAAGGCAUUGAUUCCGUACAUUUCGUCUUUAAUUGGUAAAUUUUAUUAUUAUUCAAAUUAAAUUAUUAUUUAUUUAUUAUUAUUAGUUUCCUUUACUGAUCAUGUUUUAAAAUAUAAGAAAUAAGGAAUUAACUGAUUCAAUAUGGAGAUUUCAAUGGCAUUCAAAUUGUAGUUCCGUUGUGUAAAGCGAGAACGUGUGAAAGUUUUAACAUUUAUUUGACCGUCAAGGCAGAAAUCGGUAUAUUGUUUUCAAGUAGGCUACUGGUCUCAUUCAAUUUAAACUCGCUCCGCAGAAACGCAUUCACAACGCAAUCUCUUCUUUCACGAGCCCAAUCUAAUUCUGCAAACCUAUGGCCAACUCGUCUGUCAAAGUCGAAUCGUUUCAAAUUUAAUUCUCGUGGUUACGUUAAUCAGUAUGUUUAAUGUUUCUAUGUUCUACUUGUCUAUCGAUGUGGCCACAGUAAUUAUUCUGAAGCAAUCAUGAUCUUAUGUUACUUUUAUGUACUAAUUUCCCUGAUUCUGUUAAUAUUGUGGUACUUCGGUCUUCCUUAACUAGUUCCUUCCUAAAUCUACUUGAUAACUUAGAACCUAAUCUUGUAUUAACCCUAACGAAAAUUUCUUGCCCUUUGAUAUAGGUUUU
rnacentral:rRNA from 1 species